UACGGAGGGUGCAAGCGUUAUCCGGAUUCACUGGGUUUAAAGGGUGCGUAGGUGGGUUGGUAAGUCAGUGGUGAAAUCCCCGAGCUUAACUUGGGAACUGCCAUUGAUACUAUCAGUCUUGAAUAUCGUGGAGGUUAGCGGAAUAUGUCAUGUAGCGGUGAAAUGCUUAGAUAUGACAUAGAACACCAAUUGCGUAGGCAGCUUACUACUCGAUCAUUGACGCUGAGGCACGAAAGCGUGGGGAGCAAACAGG
rnacentral:rRNA from 1 species